UAUUCACAGUUGUGCGCAACUUUCUUGUUUUGGACAUAUCACUCUCGUUCGAUCUCUUAUUUACGAUCUAUUUGCGCACACGAACUCAUAUCGUGAUGAUAUAGAACUUUAGUUCAGACCACACUUCCAAAUUCAGCUUCGAUAUUUCUGUAGAUUUCACCAAAGUACGAGAAAAUAUUAUAUUUAAAAGAUAAAGCAAUUUAAGUGCAAAAUAAUCAUCAAACACUCAAUUCUCUAUAAAAUUGACAUCAUAAAAAUAUUAAAAACCAUGGAAAAUUAAGUGUUAUCAAUAAUAAAUAAAGAAAAGAUAGAAAUAAAUGAAAGCAAACUUACUAUUAAAAGCAAAAUGGGUAGAAUGCUACUAUGCUGAACAAAAACAUAAACUGUCUUGCCCAAAUCGAGGCUUAUCAAUAAAAAUACAGAAAGUAAAGAUUGUUUUUGGUGAUACAAACUUUCAA
rnacentral:lncRNA from 1 species